UGAAUUUUCUGUUUUCUAAGAUUUGAAGUAGAGGUCAGUCUAAAAUGUCAUUUCAGCUCAAGGUGUGUCGCUUUUAAGAGAAACAGAGGAAGGUUUAAUACUUCGAAACCUGAAGGAGGUUGUGAAACGGAAUCAAUGGAGAAGCCGAUCUUGUCAAAACUCAGAAAUGUCAGCUACGAUGGCGGCAAUUGGGGAGAUGACUCUGGGUUAUUUAAGCAAAGAAUACAGCUUUCGGAGCUUCCCUGCCUUAACGGCUUUCACCGAAUCUGAAAAUCAUCAAAAUCUUAAAUCAUUGAGUCACAGAUGCAAAAGACUUGGCGCAAGAUUUCUUAGGAGAUCAUAUACGAUGGAAGACUUUCCUAGCAGAGAGAGUAGCAACGAGGUCAAAGAACCCCCGGGGAAAGUAGAUAAGACAAAGAUGGUAAUCCUUAGCUUUAUGCUGCACUCAGCGGAUGGGCCCAAAAUGGCAACAAACCGAGACAGAUCAACCGAGUUCGAGACCUCAGGGAAGUGGCAAACAGGCCGUCGUGAUGGACUUACAGCGGUAUAUUAUAAAGAGCUUCAAUGUCGACCGACGGUCAGAGUCGCGACCCUCGUAAAGUCCGUAGGGCCUGAUCAAAUACCUAAAGUUAUCCUCCAUUCCUUCAACAAUUUUCCACCGUAGUAAAGAAGUAGACAAUUACCAAGGCUAUGCAUGAAGCAGUGCUGACGAUGAAAAGAAAGAGAACUGAAUUUGGCUUCCACACGGCCAAGGGCAAGGUCUACAAUUGGUCGAGGACAUGAAACCAGAGGAGACCAACAGUGAGAUACUGAAGCAAUAGAAGAAUGAAGAUCCCUUAACGAGAAGCUAUGGGUGACCGUACAAAAGAUCUAUGGACUGAACAUGAGAAACGAUAGAGAAUGGUCGCAAAUCAUCAAAUGCUUUGGCUAAUAGGAUACUCAGUGAUAUCACCAUGGGUCUGUUUAUUGUUCUAAGUAAGCUGAAGUGACCCAGCCAAUACCAUAUCUUGGCUAACUUCAAAAAAAAACGCAUUCUCCUUAAUCAUGUUUGAGGUGGACAGUCAACUUUGAUAUUUGAAUGUUUGAUUGUUAAAGCUGAUCAGAGAUCUCAUAUCUAAUAUAGGGUUGGAUAAGAAACUCUAUGGACGCCUAAAUUAUCUCCGUUGGAUGAGUAAACACUUGCUUCGAGUUAUUCCUCUAAUGAGUCUACUAGAACCCAUGGGACCUUUGUAAGCCGAUUAAAAAUAUACCAAUGUCAAACCGAGCGAAGCACUUGAAUUAUUCUCAUUACUUCCAACAUAUGAAUCCUGUCAUAUUAGAAAAAAAUGUACCCAAAGCUGCGUAAUUUUCAAAGCAAAAGUUUAAACAAGAUUUCCGGCUCAUCCGUGCAUCAAUUUUCUAUGAUUGCUUAUGCUUGAGUUCAACCAAAACCGAAUAAAAGACUCAUAUGUAAAACACACCACACCUACGACACAUAUCAUCUUCAAAACACUUUGCAAAUACAAAAUCCUCCUGCUGACCUACUUAGCCGUGCGCCAGAGCAAAAACACUCCAACCUGGACAGUAAAUUACAUCAGCGUUGAUGCCACAUUUGCAGCAUUCAAUAGCCGAAAUAAGAAAAAAAAAUUGAAUAUAUACGAGUAUGUUAGUUUUGGUCUAUA